CGAACCGCAAGGUUCACGUUCUGGAUUUAAGGUCUCUCUUUUGCAGACCGAUCCGUGUCGAAGACACUGCCAGGUUGGGAGUUUGGCUGGGGCGGCACAUCUGUCAAACGAUAACGCAGGUGUCCUAAGGUGAGCUCAAUGAGAACAGAAAUCUCAUGUAGAACAAAAGGGUAAAAGCUCACUUGAUUUUGAUUUUCAGUAUGAAUACAAACUGUGAAAGCAUGGCCUACCGAUCCUUUAGUCUUUAGGGGAUUAUUAAAGUUUUGAUGGUAAAUGAGAG
rnacentral:ncRNA from 1 species